CCGAAAGUGUUUUGUUGUUGUGACUGACUCGCCUACAGAAAAUAUGCACAUACCACAUAAGUAUACGUCAAUGUCUGUAAUAAUGGUAGAUCAAAUGUUUCAUCUGUGUGAAACUUUUUGCUAAUCGAAAUGUUAAACCAACCACCAAUCCAUGUACAUAGAUGCGCUACGUAAACAAAGUUGUUGAUUGAUGCAUCGUAAUGUCCGAGUUCUGCAUGCUGAGAGAUUAAAUACUGUUUAUACAGUCAUUGAGAGGCUAAACAAAGUUUCUUGCAAGAAGAGGAAGUUGGUGGAUGCAUUCAACUUGGACAACGAAAUCAUAGUUUCGUUUGGCAUCAGCCUGAAGACCGAGGGAGGUUAGAUAGGACCAGUGCAGGUUGAAGUGGAUUUCGAGUCAACAAGUAUAACAGCAAGAGAGGUACUCCAUUUACAGUGAUGAUGACAUAUCCCCUGGACCCCCACAACUCCACAAAUUUAAAAAUGUUUGAUCAAGUUCCAAAGAUUAAAGAACUACUGCAAAAUUUGGGACUGGAUGAAAAACAUUAAUUCACUUAUAUGAGCUCAGAGCAGUGGAUGUUAUACAACAUACUUUAAACUAAAUUGUGAAUUUAAUACAUGUCAUGUACUCGUAUAUUACAAGUACAUGCCUUUUGAAAGACAAUAAUAUUGCAUAGAUGUAAAGGAAAUUUCAAUGUUGAUUAUUCUUUCUUAGAUAUAUUAGUAAAAAAUGUGCACAUGAUAGAAUAUCAAUUUUAUAACUUCAAUCAAUGUGUUUGAAUUUUCCUUGUAAUUCAAAAUUUAGUUGAAACAUACAUCAUAGAUACAUUAAUGUAUAUCAAAUUUUUAGAAAAGUUUCAUAAUGGAACUAAUUCACCCCCCCCCCCCUUAUACAUACAGUGAACAUAGACCUUCACCUGGGGAAAACUUCAGUUAGUUAAUGCAAUAUACAUGUACAUGCAUUCUCAGUUAUCCAAUAGUGAGUUUUUGGUUCCAUGUGAAACUACAAUGAGAAAUCUUAAACUUAUGAAAGACACACCUAUCUGUGAGGGUAAGAUGACUCAGAUGGACUUAAAUGUAGUGAUCCAUGGGCAGUCCAUAGGUCUCUUUCCAUUGAUAUUAAUUAUUUAUUGAAAUAUGAAAUGGUUAUUUAAACAUAUUUGGUGUAUUAUACUGUAUAGUGAUAUAAAUUUCUAUCAAAAAAUAUGCAUAGGUAAUAGAUUUGGUCCAGUUAUUACAAGAAAUUGUAUGAAAAAUAACUAAAUAUUUAGGCAAUCAUUGUGAGUGCGAAAAGGUCAACUGCAAUAGCACACACUAUAUAUCAUUCUUAAAUGGCUCAUAGAAACUUCUAGUAUUGUGAGUUUGAAUGCUCAAUAUGGUAAUUUGGGAAUGCUUAAUCAUUUAAGGUCAAUAGUUUAUCUCUGCUGACUGUAUCUCUUAAAAUUCAUUUCUAGAAGGGAGGGGGUAGGGUUACAAAAUCUGACAUAGUUUCAGAUUAAACCUCAUUUGGUAUAUUUUUUUCUAUUCAAUAUUUUAGAUACUACUUGACUUAUUGUAAAAAUGAAAUAAAAUCAGAAAUUUUA